UACGGGGGGAGCAAGCGUUGUUCGGAUUUACUGGGCGUAAAGGGCGCGUAGGCGGCCACCGCAAGUCGACUGUGAAAUCUCCGGGCUUAACCCGGAAAGGUCAGCCGAUACUGCGGGGCUAGAGUGCAGAAGGGGCAACUGGAAUUCUCGAUGUAGCGGUGAAAUGCGUAGAUAUCGAGAGGAACACCUGCGGCGAAGGCGGGUUGCUGGGCUGACACUGACGCUGAAGCGCGAAAGCUAGGGGAGCGAACGGG
rnacentral:rRNA from 1 species